rnacentral:misc_RNA from 1 species
UUUUCACCGAAGCAACAAUUACAACUUCCAAAAGAAAACACUACAAUCAACGCUUUUUUUUUGCCCAAAAUGGCGUCUGUUCUGCCCGUGACUCUUUGCCAAAUGGCUGUCACGCGUGAAAAGGCAGCCAAUAUCAAAAAGGCUGUCACGAUGAUCACUGAAGCUGCGAAGCGGGGCAGCAAGUUGGCUGUCUUACCCGAGUGCUUCAACUGCCCGUAUGGCACCAAGUAUUUCGACGAGUACUCUGAGGCCCUUGCGCCAGGCAAUGAAACAUUUGAUGCGAUAUCCCAGUGCGCCAAGGAAAACAGCAUCUGGAUCGUUGCAGGUAGCAUUCCCGAAAAGUCAGCUGAUGGAAAACUAUUCAAUUCGAGCAUGACGUUUGGAUCGGAUGGUGCGCUGAAACACGUGCACCGAAAGGUGCAUCUGUUCCGCAUCAACACGGAUACCGUCCGCUUCGACGAGGGCGAAGUGCUCAGUGCUGGAAAUGAUGCCACUGCCAUUUCGCUGGACGAGCACACAAAGUUUGGUGUUGCUAUUUGCUUCGAUAUCCGAUACCCCUUCCUGGCGUGGAAAUACACUGAACAAGGAACCUCCUUUAUUGUGUACCCCGGUGCCUUUAACAUGGUGACCGGCCCGAUGCACUGGCAGCUGGCAGCGCGCGCUCGCGCUGUGGACAAUCAGCAGUAUGUUUUCUUGUGUUCCCCUGCCCGCGAUACCUCCGCGGAGUACGUGGCAUGGGGGCACUCCAUGGUGGUAGAUCCCUUUGGGAAUGUUCUCUCGGAGCUGGAUGAGAAGGAGGGGUUUGUUGAUUGGAAGGUAGACCUCAGUGUCAUUCAAGAUAUGCGCAACCGAGUUCCCAUCCUGAAAGGCGUGCGUGAUGACCUCUAUACCCUGCAUUGGAAGAAGUAGUCGCUACAUAUUUUUGCUGUUUUCCUUUGCUUAAUUGUAGUAUAAGGUGCUCCUCUCAGUACUCUUGUAUCGUCUCUUUUUCUUUUCUCCUUGCACUUAAUUGUGUAUCCCUUACACGCAUUCUUAUGUGUGCGAUCGAUUCGCACUAAAAAAAAAACUGAAAAAGAUGGACCCUUUGUAUUUG